AGAACUGGAGCAUAUGCAGCAUGCCCCAAAGCCCCCAUCACAAAGCACAUUGCUAAGCUGUCCAGUGGCCAAAGCCCCAGCAUACUUUUUGAAGACCUCUAUGUCUCUCUGAAUUUCUAUCAAGAAAUCCAUCUAUUUAAGCAGGAAUCUUCUAAGAACGCUUUCUGUUAACCAUACGAAUGGUGCAGGAAUCUGGUGUUUUUGGAUGCAGAAUGUGCUGUGGAAGACUCCAAAGACACCUGGAGGACAGCACUGUAUGCAUACUCCAGUCCAAAGCUUCCAUGAAAGCUCCCUUGUCAGCAAGGAAUGCAGCAAGUCUCUAGGAGACGAGGAAAUGAGCAAGCAAAGCCUUGGUAAAACCGUUGAGAUGGAAGCUGUACUUACAUUAAUGCUUCUGUUACAAUUCAGUGAAGUUACAAGAAGCAACAAGAAAUUGCUGAUUAAAUCUCAGUGGGCAGAGGUUCUUGUGUGACUUCCCAAACUACAAACAAAGCUGGGUGAUGCAUAAGACACACCUCUGUCUCCCAAAGACAGAAAGAGACUCUACAGGAGGGGUGUCUCCAGGGACCUCGUCCCCCAGGGCGGUAAAGACAGUGAGCUAUAGUGAGUUGGAUGCAUAGUAGAGACAGCCACUGGGUCGUUGUCAUCUCUCUAUGGCACGGGGAGUCAUUACAGGUGUUGCUAAACAAUGGAAAAUGUGCCAUUGGGGGAAGCUUGGAGUGAUUAUUUAGAUGAAGGCUCAGAAGAUGGGUUAAAGAAGACAGUCUUCUAAAAAUAAGUAAGCCAAAUUAUCCUUCAUGUCAAUUUAUUUAGCCACUGAUGGAAAAAGCCUCUUAGAAGGAAGGAUGAUUUGCAUUUCUGGAGACUGGUGGUCACUACUGCUGGGGGAGGUUUUGCUGAUUCUGUCCAGGCUCUGAUCACAGACCUGCUUUUGGCUGCCGCAGGCUGGUCUGUGGGACUAGAGUGCCAUGCAUCCCAGGACCCACAGUUUUCCAGCUUUCUGACUCACUCUUUUUUUCAUUUAAGUGAUACCAAUUGCCCAGGAAAAGGCUUUUCUGGACAAAUAUGGCUACCUUUUCAAAUCACCAAAAUGCAUCCUAUAUAUUUAUUAACAUUUUUUCUUCAUACCCAUCCUCUUUUUGGUGAUAUUUUCACACAAGCUUCCUUGGCUGCCAUAACAAAAACACCACUGUUAGGGUGUCUUAAGCAACAGAAAUUUAUUCUGUCUGAGCUCCAGAGGCCAGAAGUCCAACACCAAGAUAUUGGCAGCGGGUGGAACCUGUCUGGCCCCAGCUGCUGGUGGUGGCCGGCGAGCUUUGCCUUCCUCAGCUUGUCGGAACAUCCCCUUGAUACCUGCUUUGUCUUCCCAUGGCUGUCUUCUCCUGUGUCUCUUCACAGCACCUUCCCUCUGUGCCUGUCUGUCUCUGUGUUCAAAGUUCCCUUUUAUCAAGACACCAGUCAUAUUGGAUAAGAGCCCUCAUUUUGACUUGACUCUAUCUGCAAAAAUCCUGUUUCCAAAUAAAGUCACAUUCCCAAGGUGCUGCAUUUUUGUCUUUUCUUUUUUUUUUUGGAGAUGGAGUUCCGCUCUUGUUACCCAGGCUGGAGUGCAAUGGCGCGAUCUCGGCUCACCGCAACCUCCACCUCCUGAGUUCAAGCAAUUCUCCUGCCUCAGCCUCCUGAGUAGCUGGUACUACAGGCGAGCACCACCAUGGCCAGCUAAUUUUUUGUUUUUUUUAGUAGAGAUGGGGUUUCACCAUGUUGACCAGGAUGGUCUCGAUCUCUUGACCUCAUGAUCCACCCGCCUUGGCCUCCCAAAGUGCUGGGAUUACAGGCAUGAGCGACCGCAUCCGGACCAUUUUUGUCUUUUCUUGGGGGACAUAAUCCAACCCAUAAUAGCAUUGCUUUUGAUUUCUGUAAUGUUUGACUUCUUUCAUGUUAUAGGAGAAAAAAACUGAACUCCCACAUGACCAAAUUUUAUAUGAAGUGCCGAAAGACCCACAUGAAAACUGCAGACCCCUCAUGAUUGCUCUUGGGUGGGUGGCCACCAGAGUUUAUUUGCCUAUUUCCUCUGUGGCCAUCUGUAGCCCCCACCCAUCCAUCUGCAUAACAUUGUUCAGAGGGCAGAGCAUUAUCUAGAAAGGGUAGAGAGAGCUGCAGUAAAGGAAGAGUCUUGUCUGCCUGCUUGGCUAUUUGUCUUUUUUUUUUCUUUCCUGUUAUAGUAUUUGAAGAGUGAGGGCUCCAUACCAUGUUCUGCCAUAUUGUCAAGGAAAUUACAGAUUUUGCAUGUAGCAGCACAGAACCAUCCAAAGGCAAUAAUGAUAAUUACAGUGCCUUCAAACUCAAUUUCCUUGGCACUAAAUGGACUGUGACUGAUGCAUUUCUGGAAAACAUCACCCCACAUCUUACUUGGUGGCAUUUACAUACAUAUAACGAUGUUUUGUCCCAGUUGAGUACAGCAAAUUGGGUUCGGUGGAGCAAGCACUGGGCAGCUCAAAGGUGCUGUUGUGGCUGGGGAGGGAGAGACUUGGGAAGAGUAAAUGCAGGUGGAGAUGGAAAAAAAAAGACCCCAAGGAAAUGAAUUGUCCUGGGAAAAGGUGGUGGAGCUGGCAGUGAACCCGGAGGAAGUACAGAGGCCCAGAAAGGAGCAAAGGUCUACCUUCCUGCCUGGUGUUUGCUUCAGGGGCCCUCUUCUGACUUCUGAACUUCCCAGGGCAGAGUUUAGAACAGCAUCAAAGAGCACUGGCUUUAGGAUCAAGCAGACCUGGAUAUAAAGCGCAGUUCAGACCCUUCCUAGCUGUGGACUUUACAUCAAUGUUUUCAUUUUCCCACUCUCUCUAAUGGAAAUGUUAAGACCUGUCUUAGAGAAUUGGGACCAAAAGUAAUAAAAUUGGGGAGAUAGGAAAAAUGUACAGCAUUUGAGAGAAUAAAGUGGUGCCUUUUAUAACCUGCUGCUUAGACAACAGGGCUGUCUGUGCUGGUGAAUAAAGCAAAGCUUGUGAACUAGUAACUGGGCACAAGAAUCUCUGGACCACUUCACAGCUUAUGGUAAUCUACAAGAUCUUUACUGUGAUACUGUGACCUGGUAUAAAAGCCUCUAAUUUGAGAUUCUAGAGCUGUUUAGAAUAAUAACAGCAACACAAGCAUGACAAAUGACACUUAUCUAAUACUCCCACGAGGGUUCUGGAGAAACCUACGGCGUUCUUAGACCUGGUUGGGGGUGGGGAGGUUAUUUUAGUCUCAGGUCAACCUCCCCUGUAAGUAUAUUAUUCUUUU